GACGAACGCUGGCGGCGUGCCUAAUACAUGCAAGUCGAACGCAGUGGGGACGGGUGCGUAACACGUGGGUAACCUCCCAUCAGACGGGAUAACCCUUGGCAACAGGUGCUAAACCGAUACUGAUGGAUGAACCCGCGGUGCAUUAGCUAGUUGGUGAGGUACCGGCUCACCAAGGCCACGAUGCAUAGCCGGUCGGAGAGGUUGACCAGCCACACUGGGACUGAGACACGGCCCAGACUCCUACGGGAGGCAGCAGUGGGGAAUCUUCCGCAAUGGACGAAAGUCUGACCGAGCAACGCCGCGUGAGUGAAGAAGGUUUUCGGAUCGUAAAACACUGUUGUUAGAGAAGCGGUAUCUAACCAGAAAGCCACGGCUAACUACGUGCCAGCAGCCGCGGUAAUAC
rnacentral:rRNA from 1 species